AGUCGUAACAAGGUUUCCGUAGGUGAACCUGCGGAAGGAUCAUUACCGAGUGCGGGCCCCUCGGGGCCCAACCUCCCACCCGUGUUGCCCGAACCUAUGUUGCCUCGGCGGGCCCCGCGCCCGCCGACGGCCCCCCUGAACGCUGUCUGAAGUUGCAGUCUGAGACCUAUAACGAAAUUAGUUAAAACUUUCAACAACGGAUCUCUUGGUUCCGGCAUCGAUGAAGAACGCAGCGAAAUGCGAUAACUAAUGUGAAUUGCAGAAUUCAGUGAAUCAUCGAGUCUUUGAACGCACAUUGCGCCCUCUGGUAUUCCGGAGGGCAUGCCUGUCCGAGCGUCAUUGCUGCCCUCAAGCCCGGCUUGUGUGUUGGGCCCCGUCCCCCCCGCCGGGGGGACGGGCCCGAAAGGCAGCGGCGGCACCGCGUCCGGUCCUCGAGCGUAUGGGGCUUCGUCACCCGCUCUAGUAGGCCCGGCCGGCGCCAGCCGACCCCCAACCUUUAAUUAUCUCAGGUUGACCUCGGAUCAGGUAGGGAUACCCGCUGAACUUAAGCAUAUCAAUAAGCGGAGGAA
rnacentral:misc_RNA from 1 species